GACGAACGCUGGCGGCGUGCUUAACACAUGCAAGUCGAACGGAAAGGCCCUGCUUUUGUGGGGUGCUCGAGUGGCGAACGGGUGAGUAACACGUGAGUAACCUGCCCUUGACUUUGGGAUAACUUCAGGAAACUGGGGCUAAUACCGGAUAGGAGCUCCUGCUGCAUGGUGGGGGUUGGAAAGUUCCGGCUGUUGGGGAUGGACGCGCGGCUUAUCAGCUUUUUGGUGGGGUAGUGGCUUACCAAGGCUUUGGCGGGUAGCCGGCCUGAGAGGGUGACCGGCCACCUUGGGCCUGCGAGACGGCCCAGACUCCUACGGGAGGCAGUAGUGGGGAAUCUUGCACAACGGGGGGAAGCCUGAUGCAGCAACGCCGCGUGCGGGAUGCCGGCCUUCGGGUUGUAAACCGAUUUCGCAUGUGACGAAGAGUGAGUGACGGUAAUGGGUAAAGAAGCAACGGCUAACUACGUG
rnacentral:rRNA from 1 species